rnacentral:rRNA from 1 species
AUGAACGCUGGCGGCGUGCCUAAUACCUGCAAGUCGAGCGAACAGAUCAGGAGCUUGCUCCUUUGACGUUAGCGGCGGACGGGUGAGUAACACGUGGGUAACCUACCUAUAAGACUGGAAUAACUCCGGGAAACCGGGGCUAAUGCCGGAUAACAUUUAGAACCGCAUGGUUCUAAAGUGAAAGAUGGUUUUGCUAUCACUUAUAGAUGGACCCGCGCCGUAUUAGCUAGUUGGUAAGGUAACGGCUUACCAAGGCAACGAUACGUAGCCGACCUGAGAGGGUGAUCGGCCACACUGGAACUGAGACACGGUCCAGACUCCUACGGGAGGCAGCAGUAGGGAAUCUUCCGCAAUGGGCGAAAGCCUGACGGAGCAACGCCGCGUGAGUGAUGAAGGUCUUCGGAUCGUAAAACUCUGUUAUUAGGGAAGAACAAAUGUGUAAGUAACUGUGCACGUCUUGACAGUACCUAAUCAGAAAGCCACGGCUAACUACGUG